ensembl:lncRNA
GUUACUGCUGCUUUUAGAGUGGAGAUCUAGAAAGGGCCAUUUCUCUACAGGACAGUGCACAGCUUGCCACAGAUCCACAGGAGGGAUUCGGAGACCUCACAGCCUUUGGAAAAAUGACCAAAUAUCUAAUUCUGAAGACUAAUACAUUUUGGUACUAUGAAAACAUCUCCCAUUAAGUAGAAAACCCCAGACAGGGCUUCCAGCCUGCGACACUUUCCCUCUCACAGACCCUGGUGACCACGGAUCCACGACUCCUGCAGCCGUGAAUGUGGCUCUGAGUCCUGCUCCCAGGCCCGAGGAGCUGCUCUCGACCCAUUGGAGCCCGCCCAGCAUGCAGAACCAUCACUGCAGAUGGGCUCUAGCCCUCUCCCUGCCUAGGAUCUGCACCAGUGAUCUGCAGACAGAAGACCCAGGGAAAGCUGGGAAUCACCUAGGGUGUGUUCUCCCUGUCUAGCGCUGAAUGAGAAGCCACCCCCAAGCUGAGUGUCCUAAAGCAACACCAUUGUUUGCCUUACUCUUGAGUCUGCGAUCCGGGCAGCGCUUGGUGCAGUAGCUUGUCUCUGCUCAGCUCUGACUCUUUUAGGGCAGGCGGCUUGCGGGCUGGGGCUGGCAACACUGAGGUCCCUCAUGCAGCUGGUGGCUGGUGGCUGUUGUUGACUGUCGGUUGACUAACAGCUCCCUUGCUGGAGCUGUGGGCCGGGACUGCUGGGCUUCCUUACAAUGUGGUGGCCAGAGUCAUGUUACUGUCUGUAACCCAUCGUCCUAAGUCACCUAAAACCCUCUCUCCUCUUCAUCUCAGCAGUCGUGAAGGCACCCCUGGUUUCAAGGAGAGGGGAAAUAGACUCUGCCUCUCAAUGAGUGGCCAGAUCCUGGAGGAGCUCAGAAAUACUGCUGUGGCUGUUUCUGGACCAUGAGAUCUGCAACCUGCUGUGCCGUGGGCUAGAGGUCAGACCUACCAGGGAGUCUGGGCCCAGGGGUCAGGUUCCAAAGAUGGUUCACCACCAGGAGUUAGGGACAAAGUCCAGAAUGCCUCUUCACUGCAUGGACGUGAUCAUGUGGCACUGCCCCACCGGGACAUCAGUGUCUGCUCUGGCCCUCAUUAGCACAACGAGACCAGACCCAGACACAUCUCAGGGGCCUCGGCUCCCACUGCCUGCAAUGCCAGGACACGCUGAUCUGUGAAUCCUUGGAAUCUCCUUCAGGAAAUGACCCACUCAAAGGGAGGAUUUGUCAUCCUGGGGCAUUGUAUACAUCUCAUCCAACUUUCAGACAAGCUGUAAUUCUGUGAGUAACGGCUUGGCAGUGUGAGGUGAUGUCAUCAGGGCAGACGCUUUGGUGGAGAGGGAUAUGUGGCCUGGACACAGCCACCUCCCCCAUGGAGCCCCCAGAGCUCACCUACCUCAGGAAAGUCAGGGCAGUCAGCUCCUGCCAGCCAGGAUGUUCAGCUGGGAGCUGGAGGCAAGGGCAUCCAUUGGGCUUGGACUUCUAUACCUGUGACACCUGUGCAAGUGAUGGACUCCCCGAGCCAGGGUCCCCGGCACUCCCACGAGGAGGAGCCUGAGGGUGAAGGAUGGCUGCUCAGCACACAGGCUGUGAUGGGCCCCAGCUUUGUCCUCCCACUGCCCCGUAUGGGUCACCCGAGGCCUCUACCCUCCCCGUCACAUGACAGCGCCUACCUUGCAGCAACGUGCAUGAAGGGCCCAGGGCCCCCUUUCCUCCUCUGAGGCCCCGCAUGCUGCCAGACACAUUUGAGGUCCUUGGUCAGCACCUCGGGGUCACAGGACCUGAGGCCUCUGUCUGGCUUCUGACCAUUCUCAGAAUGGGAUCUGACCUGUGGCCAGGACUCAGGAGCACCUGGCACCUGGAGCUGUCUGCACUGGGGCAGAGUAGGCCAUCUGUGUCCAAGUGCUCAGCUGGGUUGCAUGUGGACCCCAGUGAGGACGGAGAUGGGGGGCUACUUUCCUGUGUCUGGGUGGAGAUCUACUCCAAAUGCCCAUGUCCUGUAUCAGAGCCAGUAGAUUUGAGUCUUGGAAGGGACUUUGGCAAUCUCAAAGGUCUACGAAAGAAAACGGCCAGGCGUGGUGGCUCACCCCUGUAAUCCCAGCACUUUGGGAGGCCAAGGCACGUGGAUCACCUGAGGUCAGGAGUUCCAGACCAGCCUGGCCAACAUGGUGAAAUCCUGUCUCUACUAAAAAUACAAAAAUUAGCCGGGUGUGGUAGCACACACCUGUAAUCUUAGCUACUCAGGAGGCUGAGGCAGGAGAAUUGCUUGAACCUGGGAGAUGGAGGUUCCAGUGAGCCAAGAUCAUGCCACUACACUCCAGCCUGGGCUACAGAGCGAGGCUCCAAACUCAAAAAAAAAAAAAA